rnacentral:rRNA from 1 species
UACGUAGGUGGCAAGCGUUGUUCGGAAUUAUUGGGCGUAAAGCGCGCGCAGGCGGUUUCUUAAGUCUGAUGUGAAAUCUCGUGGCUCAACCACGAACGGUCAUUGGAAACUGGGAAACUUGAGUACAGAAGAGAAGAGUGGAAUUCCACGUGUAGCGGUGAAAUGCGUAGAGAUGUGGAGGAACACCAGUGGCGAAGGCGACUCUUUGGUCUGUAACUGACACUGAGGCACGAAAGCGUGGGGAGCAAACAGGAUUAGAUACCCU